ACAGCUUAACUAUCAUGAAGACGCAAAUCAGGGGAUUUGAAAUUUACUUCCCUAGCCCCCUCUCGCACGGCCUCGUCCAGUUCUCUUUUCAGUUUUGACCAUGGCGCCAGAUCCAAAUGCCAAUGGUAGCGGCACGGUUCUGUUGAAGGAGCCAAAGAGCAAGAAGGAUGAAAAAAAGGAGGAAAAUCUGGUUGUGAAUUCGUGUACUGUGAUUGCUACGGUUUUACAAUUUUUUUCAUACCCAAUGCUCCGAGUUGUCGGAUGAAGAUUUGGUGCUGAAAAAGCAAUUAGAGUUGUAUGUGGAAAGGGUUCAAAAUCCUGAUCCUAGCUUGCAGAAGGUUGCGCUUGAGAGCAUGAGUUCACGUUUGAGAUUGAUGUGGAAGCUGUUGUGGGCAACGGAAGUUUUGGGCAAAGGAGAUGGUGGGCAACGAAUGGUGCGAAAUUAAUGGUGGGUAAAGGACUGGUGGUGGCAGAAUUGAUGACGACGGAUUUGGUGUCGUGCGGCAGUGCAAAGCGACGGUGCUGGUGCGAAUCGACACCGUCGAUUCGAUUUCUAUUCUGCUUCUAAGAGUUUACUAUAUAGUGUGAUGAGACUAUUGUAAUUUUUGUAGAAUUGCUGAUGGGGCGGAAUAUUAGUGGAGGCUGUUAAACCCAUACCUUCGGAUGGACCGCUUCAAAGCGGAACUCGUUUAAUAUUACCUUCUUUUCUUUUAUAUGUCCUUAAACGUCUUAAUUAAUUGCCACGACUUUGACUUAUAAAAACGGAUUCUUCGUCAAAGUCUACGGUACGUAAUGUAAUUCAAUCCUAACUUGUCCAUUAAUAUGAAUCUCAUCAUCUCCUUCCUCCUACUUUCUUCUUUCUCGAUCGUACAUAUAUUAUACAUAUAUAUAUUAUAGAUAUACGUAUGUAUUUCCCUCCCAUCUUGUGAUCUCAACCUUUAAUAUAUAUUCCCUCUCUCACAAAUUUCUUAGUCAAAGUCUAGAGUAUUAAUGUAAUUCAAUAAUUCCUUCGUCAAAGUCGACGGUAUUAAUUAAUGCAUGUCUUUUCCUCCGGCCAUCUUGUGAUCUCAACCUUAUAUAUAUAUACAUAGUAUUCUCAUGUGCUGUUCUUGCGUACUGUAACGAGAGAGAGAGAGAGAGAGAUCAUGAAGGUGUUGUGGUUUCUUGUACGCUUUUACUUUGUUUUUCUGCUGAUCUUCCUGCAUGCAUCCUUUGGUAGAACUGAAGCACUAGGCCGCGAGGGGCCCUAUGUCGGCCCGAUCAGAGGUAGUCCAUCACGUCCCAUCGGAAAGCCCGGAAGCCACCCAUGAGAUCAUCAAUCACAUGCACCGACCUUGCUAGUUCAAUAAAUCAAGCUACAUACUAAUUAAUAAUAUAUAUAUAUAUAUAUAUAUAUAAAUAGAUGUUUAAUAAAGAUCAGAUGAUGAAACAGCAGAUCAUAUAUAUAGGCUUAUAGCCUAGCUAUAUGCAGGCUGAGAUCCUUUAUUGUAUGAAGCUUAAUUUGCUUCUUUAUUUAGUGAGUUAAUUAUUUCCAUCUGUUAUUUUUGUUAAUCGAUCGAUCUUUUA